UCGGAAUCGCUAGUAAUCGUGGAUCAGAAUGCCACGGUGAAUACGUUCCCGGGCCUUGUACACACCGCCCGUCACACCAUGGGAGUGGGCUGCAAAAGAAGUAGGUAGUUUAACCUUCGGGGGGACGCUUACCACUUUGUGGUUCAUGACUGGGGUGAAGUCGUAACAAGGUAGCGCUAGGGGAACCUGGCGCUGGAUCACCUCCUUAAACGAUGAU
rnacentral:rRNA from 2 species